GCUGGGCGUGGUGGCCCAUGCCUGUAAUCCCAGCACUUUGGGAGGCUGAGGUAGGUGGAUCACCUGAGGUCAGGAGUUCAAGACCAGCCUGUCCAACAUGGUGAAACCCCAUCUCUA
ensembl:misc_RNA Metazoa_SRP Metazoan signal recognition particle RNA